GUGCUCACCUUGGCAGCACACGUACUAAAAUUGGUACAACAAAGAGAAGAUUAGGACAGCCCUUACACAAGGAUGACAUGCAAAUUCAUGGAGUAUUCCAUAUUAGG